rnacentral:rRNA from 1 species
UCGGCACGAGCGCACCCACGUCACUAUUUGCCAUCAGGUUAUGCUGGGAACUAUAGUGUGACUGCCCGUGUUAAACGGGAGGAAGGCGUGGACGACGUCAAGUCAGUAUGGCCCUUAUGUCCAGGGCUGCACACGUGCUACAAUGGUCGGUCCAGAGGGAUGCCAAACCGCGAGGUGGAGCAAAUCCGUAAAGCCGGCCUUAGUUCGGAUUGUAGUCUGCAACUCGACUACAUGAAGUUGGAAUCGCUAGUAAAGGCGUAUCAGCUAUGACGCCUUGAAUACGUUCCCGGGUCUUGUACACACCGCCCGUCACAUCAUGGAAGCGGAUUGCACCCGAAGCCAGUGGUCUAACCCUUUAUUGGGAGGAAGCUGUCGAAGGUGUGGUUGGUAACUGGGAUGAAGUCGUAACAAGGUAGCCGUAGGGGAACCUGCGGCUGGAUCA